UCUCCGCGGCUUUCUGACAGACGCUUUCAGGAAGUGCUCGAGGUAGGACAUCACAUCUUCCCUUUUCUGUCAACAUUUAUGCCGAAAGUGGAUCUACUGUCCCGACUGUACGCCUGUUGUGUGUGUGUGUGAGUGUGUGUGUGUGUGUGUGUGAGACGCUGCAAUCCGCUUCCGGCAGUACAGCACAAUAGCCACGACACACAGGAAGAGACGCGGAGAGCGAAGUCAGAGGGAGGAAGUCUCUGCAGAAGAGCAUGACGGAGUUCUGGGUGUGUUUCAGCUGCUGCGUCGCUGAGCAGCCACAACCCAAGCGCAGGCGGAGAAUAGAUCGCUCUAUGAUCGGAGAACCCACAAACUUCGUCCACAUGACACACGUGGGUUCUGGAGAGAUGGGCUCGGGUCUGGGAGCUGUGGACACUGUUCAGGCGCAGAUGAAAUCUAAAGGUGGUUACGGCAACGGCACAUCAGACAGUGUACAAGGCUAAUCAGCACUGAUGGGCUCCUCCUGCGUACACACACACACACACUUGAGCGCAGUCUCUCAGCACUGCCGUCUGGACGGUUGUAGAUAUUUUUGUAAUGAAGCACUGCUAUUCUUUUACUGGUCAGCUGGUGGCGCUCUGCACAGCGGAGACGAGGAUGAAGAGUCUGUGUGUGUGCGUGGAUACACACUCUGAGUACAGGCGUCCCGCAGCUGUAUUUAUUUCAUUGUUUAAUGGUGGCUGGGCCACAAGAACACACACACACACACACACACACACACACACACACAUAUACAUAUACAAACACAUAUAAAUACAAUACACACACAUGCAAACACACACCCAAAUACACACACACUGAACGCGCUCGUGAACAACUGCUUCUGUGAUGUCUGUGCUCUGGAUCUCCGCGUCUGUGGAGUAUGGUGUUGUUUUUAUCUGUAGCUGUGCUGUCUGCUGUACUCCUGAACUGUGCGUCUCACUGUAACCUCAGCGCUGCGCUCUCCCCACACGGAGGAGGAGGAGGAGGAGGAGGAGGCGCUGCUGCAGGGAAACUAUUUUUCUACAAACUGUGUUCAUUUCAUUCUGAUGCAUCAAUAAAAUGACAUCCUUGUA